GACGAGGGAUCCUAGCGUUGUUCGGAAUCAUUGGGCGUAAAGCGGGUGUAGGCGGGCUUUUAAGUCAGAUGUGAAAUCCCAGGGCUCAACCCUGGAAGUGCAUUUGAUACUGAAAGUCUUGAGUGUGGUAGAGGUUACUGGAAUUGUUGGUGUAGUGGUGAAAUACGUAGAUAUCAACAGGAAUACCGGAGGCGAAGGCGAGUAACUGGGCCAACACUGACGCUGAGACCCGAAAGCGUGGGGAUCAAACAGG
rnacentral:rRNA from 1 species